rnacentral:rRNA from 1 species
AGUGAACGCUGGCGGUAGGCCUAACACAUGCAAGUCGAACGGCAGCACAGGAGAGCCUGCUCUCUGGGUGGCGAGUGGCGGACGGGUGAGGAAUACAUCGGAAUCUACUCUGUCGUGGGGGAUAACGUAGGGAAACUUACGCUAAUACCGCAUACGACCUACGGGUGAAAGCAGGGGACCUUCGGGCCUUGCGCGAUUGAAUGAGCCGAUGUCGGAUUAGCUAGUUGGCGGGGUAAAGGCCCACCAAGGCGACGAUCCGUAGCUGGUCUGAGAGGAUGAUCAGCCACACUGGAACUGAGACACGGUCCAGACUCCUACGGGAGGCAGCAGUGGGGAAUAUUGGACAAUGGGCUCAAGCCUGAUCCAGCCAUACCGCGUGGGUGAAGAAGGCCUUCGGGUUGUAAAGCCCUUUUGUUGGGAAAGAAAUCCAGCUGGCUAAUACCCGGUUGGGAUGACGGUACCCAAAGAAUAAGCACCGGCUAACUUCGUGCCAGCAGCCGCGGUAA